CUGGCUUCAGUGCUGGGGAGUGGCCCCUGGGCGGGCCACUGCUCUGGCCCAUCCUGGGGCCCACACUCUCGCUCCGGGCUCA
rfam:Loxodonta africana unplaced genomic scaffold scaffold_21, whole genome shotgun sequence.